UGCAGACGGUCGAGGGAGUACACUCCCCAC
rnacentral:misc_RNA from 1 species